rnacentral:misc_RNA from 1 species
GAUGAAGAACGUAGCGAAAUGCGAUAAGUAGUGUGAAUUGCAGAAUUCAGUGAAUCAUCGAAUCUUUGAACGCACAUUGCGCCCCUUGGUGUUCCAUGGGGCAUGCCUGUUCGAGCGUCAUUUGUACCUUCAAGCUUUGCUUGGUGUUGGGUGUUUGUCUCGCCUUUGCGUGUAGACUCGCCUUAAAAUAAUUGGCAGCCGGCGUAUUGAUUUCGGAGCGCAGUACAUCUCGCGCUUUGCACUCAUAACGACAGCGUCCAAAAGUACAUUUUACACUCUUGACCUCGGAUCAGGUAGGGAUACCCGCUGAACUUAAGCAUAUCAAUAAGCGGAGGA